AGCAGUCGCCGCGGGAAUACGUAGGGUGCGAGCGUUAAUCGGAAUUACUGGGCGUAAAGCGAGCGCAGACGGUUAUUUAAGCAGGAUGUGAAAUCCCCGGGCUUAACCUGGGAACUGCGUUCUGAACUGGAUAGCUAGAGUGUGUCAGAGGGGGGUAGAAUUCCACGUGUAGCAGUGAAAUGCGUAGAGACGUGGAGGAAUACCGAUGGCGAAGGCAGCCCCCUGGGAUAACACUGACGUUCAUGCUCGAAAGCGUGGGUAGCAAACAGGAUUAGAGACCCCUGUAGUCCCUGUCUCUUAUAA
rnacentral:rRNA from 1 species